AGGGAAUCUUCACAACUUUCAAAGAGAUCUCCAGAGGUUGAUGAAGCUUGUAGACAGACAAGAAGUUCUGAAGUCUUCAUCCUCUGAAGGUUGUAACCUCUGAAGUCCAACAUCUUCUGAGCGCUUGUGAACUUCUGAAUUCACAUCCUCUGAACUUCACUCAGAGCUUAUAUGAUGGUUAUAUCUGCGCACUUAAAAUAAAUUUUUAGUCCUUCCAAUUGUUAAUUAAUACUUUGUUAUCAUCAAAACCUUUAUAGAUUUAGGGGCAAACAUUUUUAAAUCAAUUUUGUUCCAACAAAUGAUACAUCGAGUAACCAAGUUUGUCUUCGUUGGCAACCUAUCCCUCAAAAGUCUCCAUGCAAGAAUCGAAAC
rnacentral:lncRNA from 1 species